GCCGGGGGAAACCUCCGGAACAGGAGUCAUGUCCUCCUGAGAGACAGCGACAGCAAAGGGGACAGAGAGAGAGAGAGAGAAAGUGGACAAAUAUAUCAGUGUGUAUGCUGUCCACAGAGGCAUGGCCAGCUCUCUGCUGUACCCGCUGAUGAACUCCACAUGAUGAAGCAAACUGUACUGAGUGUCAAACAUCACGGCUGGACGACCAAACGGGAGGUGUGUACUGUCUGCACAAACACACACACAGGGACACACACAGUUACUCCCUAUUGGCUGAGAGAAGAAUGAAGUUUAAUCAAACAGGCCAAAAACAAAAGUAUAAGAAACCUACUGUAACUGUAGAUUCCAUCUGG